GACGAACGCUGGCGGCGUGCUUAACACAUGCAAGUCGAACGGAAAGGCCCUGCUUUUGUGGGGUGCUCGAGUGGCGAACGGGUGAGUAACACGUGAGUAACCUGCCCUUGACUUUGGGAUAACUUCAGGAAACUGGGGCUAAUACCGGAUAGGAGCUCCUGCUGCAUGGUGGGGGUUGGAAAGUUUCGGCGGUUGGGGAUGGACUCGCGGCUUAUCAGCUUGUUGGUGGGGUAGUGGCUUACCAAGGCUUUGACGGGUAGCCGGCCUGAGAGGGUGACCGGCCACAUUGGGACUGAGAUACGGCCCAGACCCCUACGGGAGGCAGCAGUGGGGAAUAUUGCACAAUGGGCGGAAGCCUGAUGCAGCAACGCCGCGUGCGGGAUGACGGCCUUCGGGUUGUAAACCGCUUUCGCCUGUGACGAAGCGUGAGUGACGGUAAUGGGUAAAGAAGCACCGGCUAACUACGUG
rnacentral:rRNA from 1 species